GUGCUUCAUGGGCUCUGCUCUUGUUUCCUGGUCGCUUUAUCCUUGAGGCCAGUGGUCUGCAGAGGCUCUCCGUCUGUCGUGGGCAGUGUUUGAUCCCUGGCUUGAAUAUGGGUCUUCAUGGAGAAUUUGCUACCAGGGUAAUGCUGGCCUCAUCGAAGGAGAAAAAGACAAUCAUGCAAAAAUCAAAGAACUAGAUGCAAUAUAAGGAAAUUAGAUCUCUAGAUGCAUAUGCAGAAAACACUGGAUUCUGAGAGCCACUGCCCCAGGAAAUGGACACCAUGGAACAGCAUUAUUGAAUUGAGCUGGAAAAGCCACAUCCCUACAAAAAUCUCAAAACUGACCCACAAUAAUGUGUCUGUCUCCAGAGAAGGGCUCUACACUGAGGAGAAACUUCUGGAACCGUAAUCAAGAGUAGGACAGGGACCAAAAAAAGGUAAAUUCUAGAUAAAGCACAAAAAUAAUAGUAAAGGGAAAUUUGUAAAGUUAUAAAAGCUACCUUACCAUAUAUACCUCCUUGUGAAAGUUCAGAAAGCUCAAUGCAUGUAAAAUGAGCAACACAAAAGUAUUAAGGCCUUUCUUAGUAGUUUUAGGUUUUUUUAAAUUAUAUCCUCUAUGUAUUCUACUUUCUUGGUUAGAUAUUUUUGUUCAGGUACUGGAAUUUAGUUGCUUGCCUUCAAAUUCUUUUACCUUUACGGUAUUAUGUUGUAUUUAUUUGCUCCUGUACUCCUAUAAUAUUCUUAGGAUUGUUUUUAUUUCUAGAGGAUCACUUCUGAUUUUUUAUUUAUAUGUCAUGCCUUGAAUAAAUCUCUAACCUAUUUAGCGUAGCUGGAAAUAUACAUUAAAUUCUGCAUGUUUUUUGGGCAUGCUUCUCUGGCUUGCAUACUUUUUUCGAAAGUAUCACUCAGUCUAUUUUUCAUUUUCUUAUAUUAAUAAGCUAUCUGGCCUUAAUACUAAGGGAAAGAGGUUAGACAAUGAGAAUGGCUAGAUAAUAUUAUAAAAACUGGUAAUAAUUAUACACUUACAGAACUAAGAUGAAGUCUUGAGGAAUGUAUAGUAUGCAAUGGCUGUAUGAACUGCUAGUCUGGACACAGCAUAAUUCUGUAAAAACUGUUUUCAGUAAUCCUAGUAAUAUUGAUAGUAUUCCUAUUGCUAUUCUGAACCCAUUCACGUGUAAUAUGUUAUCAAGCAAAAUGAGUCAACAAAAUAUUUUAACUCUGCCACAUCCUCUAUUUUUUAGAACCAAAUACCUAUGUGGAAGAAACUGGAUAAAUAUGAAUGUGAUAUAGAAAAAAGGGAAAACUUUACAAUUAGUUACACAUGGGAAUAAACGCAUGUUUUAUUUCGAGAUUCAUAUUUUCUGAUAUUACAUACAAUAGAAGAUAAAUACAUAUAUAUGUAUUCAGAUUCAAAUUACCUCUAACUUAGUAACAGUGAACAUCCAUUUUCUUUUCCCUUUAGAAGAAUCCAAGGCUAAUAGAGAAUUGGCUGAUUCCCUGUGUAGGAUGAGCCCAGAGGAAGCAGUCAUAUCAGGUUGCAAGGUAGCUAUCAGUGAUAAUUAAAACCAGCUCUGAAAGAAACUAGAAAAGGAAUCAAUGAAAUAAAGAACUGGUUCUUUGAUAAACAACCAGAUUCCUCACACACACAAAGUCCACCAAUAAAUAAAAUCAGAAAUGAAAGAAUAACAGACACCACAGAAAUGCAAAGGAUUAUGAGAUGGAACACCCUAGAAGAAGUGGAUAAAUUCCUAAAAACAUACAAUUAUCCCAAACUGAAUCAUGAAGAAAGAUAUUAGUAAUGAAAUGGAAUUGGCAAUCCAAAGACCCCCCAAUAAACAAAAGUCUAAGAGCAGGUGAAUUCUACCCAUCAAUUAAAUACAUCUAUCAUGCUAGCAUUACCCUAGCAGACAAAGCAACUCUAAAAAAAAAAAAAAAAUAGAAACUACAGGUCAAUAUCCCUGAUGAAGAUAGAGGCCAAGUACCUUCCACAAAAUAUGAGAUCACAUUCAAUAAUACAUAAAAUGGAUUACUUACCACCAUUAAGUAGGAUUUAUUUCAGGUAAGCAAGGAUAGUUUAGUAUUCACAGAUCAAUCAACAUGAUACACUACAUUAACAAAAUGAAGGACAAAAACCAUAUGAUCAUCCCAAUAAAGAAAAAGCAUAUAGUGAAAAUCAAAAUUCAUGAUAAAAACUGUCAACAAAAGGGGUUAGAGGGAACAUACACCUUAAUACAAGAGAGGCAAUAUAUGACAAAACUACAGCUAAAAUCAUACUCAGUGAUGCAAAGUGGAGAGUUUGUUCUGCUAGGAUCAGGACCAGACAAGGGUGCCCACUCCACCACUUUUAUUCAACAUAGUAUGGGAAGUCCUAGCCACAACAAUCAGCCAACAAAAGGAAAGAAAUGGCAUCCAAAUUGGUAAGGAAGAGGCAAAACUGUCACUAUUUGCAGAUGACAUGAAACUAUACAUAGAAAAACCUUAAAAAAAGCUGACAAAAAAAUAUUAGAACUAAGGGAUCCACAAAUAAGAGCCUUGCCUGCCUUGGGACUUGUAUGGUGACCCUAUCUGUGAAACUAAUGCAUAGACCCACUCACUGCUGAAUACAGCAUUCAGCCUCCUUGACUGAGAACCUAACCAGCACACACAAGCAGCUGUUUAGCUCAUCUUACAGCCCUACGUACAGUGACACUUGAGUAGAGAGCAUAGCAAAACCAGUUGCCCCUUCAGGCCAGGGAAUUUAGCACACAAUCCUGCUUGAUUUGGGUCCCCAAACAAUAAACUGUGCUGGCUACAUGGCCCAUUCUGCUACCCUGCCACUACAAGGAAGCUAAUUCAUAGCGUCUGUUGAUAGGAAACCUGACAAAAGCAAUCAAGGAACCACAUAGCCCAUUAUAGCCUUGCUUUUGCAAAGAACCAGGCCAGAUUAGAAUGGAAUGAUCUAUUCAAAAUAUUGAAAGAAACAAAAAAUGUCAGCCAAGAAUACUAUACCCAGAAACGCUGUCCUUCCGAAGUGAAGAAGACAGAGGACUUUAACACACAAAGUGAGGAAGCUCAUUACCACUAGAUCUCUUCAAGAAGUGCUAAAGGGAGUUCUUCAAGCAGAAAUAAAAAGACGAUGGUAAGCAGAAUAAGUCAGAGAAAGAAAUAUAUGAAUUCCUCAUAUGUGGAAUUUAAGGAACAAAACAAAUGAACAUAG